UACGGGAGGCAGCAGUGGGGAAUAUUGCACAAUGGGCGCAAGCCUGAUGCAGCCAUGCCGCGUGUAUGAAAAAGGCCUUCGGGUUGUAAAGUACUUUCAGUCGUGAGGAAGGUGUUAAGGUUAAUAACCUUAGCAAUUGACGUUAGCGACAGAAGAAGCACCGGCUAACUCCGUGCCAGCAGCCGCGGUAAUACGGAGGGUGCGAGCGUUAAUCGGAAUUACUGGGCGUAAAGGGCACGCAGGCGGUUAAUUAAGUUGGAUGUGAAUCCCCGGGCUUAACCUGGGAAUGGCAUUCAAGACUGGUUAGCUAGAGUCUUGUAGAGGGGGUUAGAAUUCCAUGUGUAGCGGUGAAAUGCGUAGAGAUGUGGAGGAAUACCGGUGGCGAAGGCGGCCCCUGGGACAAAGACUGACGCUCAUGUGCGAAAGCGUGGGGAGCAAACGAGGGAUUAGAUACC
rnacentral:rRNA from 1 species